GCGGAUAUGGCGGAACUGGCAGACGCGCUAGAUUUAGGUUCUAGUGGGCAACCCCCAUGCAGGUUCGAUUCCUGUUAUCCGCA
rnacentral:tRNA from 1 species